rnacentral:rRNA from 1 species
CAGCCGCCGCGGUAAUACGUAGGUGGCAAGCGUUGUCCGGAAUUAUUGGGCGUAAAGGGCUCGCAGGCGGUUUCUUAAGUCUGAUGUGAAAGCCCCCGGCUCAACCGGGGAGGGUCAUUGGAAACUGGGAAACUUGAGUGCAGAAGAGGAGAGUGGAAUUCCACGUGUAGCGGUGAAAUGCGUAGAGAUGUGGAGGAACACCAGUGGCGAAGGCGACUCUCUGGUCUGUAACUGACGCUGAGAAGCGAAAGCGUGGGGAGCGAACAGGAUUAGAUACCCCCGUAGUCCCUGUCUCUUAUAC